AACGCACAUUGCGCCCGCUGGUAUUCCGGCGGGCAUGCCUGUUCGAGCGUCAUUUCACCACUCAAGCCUCGCUUGGUAUUGGGCGACGCGGUACGCCGCGCGCCUCAAAUCUUUCGGCUGGGUCUGAAUCGUCCCUCAGCGUUGUGGAAACUAUUCGCUAAAGGGUUCGCGUUCGGCAACGCCGUUAAACAAAACCAUUUCAUUAAAGGUUGACCUCGGAUCAGGUAGGGAUACCCGCUGAACUUAA
rnacentral:misc_RNA from 1 species